GACGAACGCUGGCGGCGUGCUUAAUACAUGCAAGUCGAACGGAAAGGCCCUGCUUUUGUGGGGUGCUCGAGUGGCGAACGGGUGAGUAACACGUGAGUAACCUGCCCUUGACUUUGGGAUAACUUCAGGAAACUGGGGCUAAUACCGGAUAGGAGCUCCUGCUGCGUGGUGGGGGUUGGAAAGUUUCGGCGGUUGGGGAUGGACUCGCGGCUUAUCAGCUUGUUGGUGGGGUAGUGGCUUACCAAGGCUUUGACGGGUAGCCGGCCUGAGAGGGUGACCGGCCACAUUGGGACUGAGAUACGGCCCAGACUCCUACGGGAGGCAGCAGUGGGGAAUAUUGCACAAUGGGCGGAAGCCUGAUGCAGCAACGCCGCGUGCGGGAUGACGGCCUUCGGGUUGUAAACCGCUUUCGCCUGUGACGAAGCGUGAGUGACGGUAAUGGGUAAAGAAGCACCGGCUAACUACGUG
rnacentral:rRNA from 1 species